GAUGAACGCUGGCGGCGUGCCUAAUACAUGCAAGUCGAGCGAACGGACGAGAAGCUUGCUUCUCUGAUGUUAGCGGCGGACGGGUGAGUAACACGUGGAUAACCUACCUAUAAGACUGGGAUAACUUCGGGAAACCGGAGCUAAUACCGGAUAAUAUUUCGAACCGCAUGGUUCAAAAGUGAAAGACGGUCUUGCUGUCACUUAUAGAUGGAUCCGCGCUGCAUUAGCUAGUUGGUAAGGUAACGGCUUACCAAGGCAACGAUGCAUAGCCGACCUGAGAGGGUGAUCGGCCACACUGGAACUGAGACACGGUCCAGACUCCUACGGGAGGCAGCAGUAGGGAAUCUUCCGCAAUGGGCGAAAGCCUGACGGAGCAACGCCGCGUGAGUGAUGAAGGUCUUCGGAUCGUAAAACUCUGUUAUUAGGGAAGAACAUAUGUGUAAGUAACUGUGCACAUCUUGACGGUACCUAAUCAGAAAGCCACGGCUAACUACGUGCCAGCAGCCGCGGUAAUACGUAGGUGGCAAGCGUUAUCCGGAAUUAUUGGGCGUAAAGCGCGCGUAGGCGGUUUUUUAAGUCUGAUGUGAAAGCCCACGGCUCAACCGUGGAGGGUCAUUGGAAACUGGAAAACUUGAGUGCAGAAGAGGAAAGUGGAAUUCCAUGUGUAGCGGUGAAAUGCGCAGAGAUAUGGAGGAACACCAGUGGCGAAGGCGACUUUCUGGUCUGUAACUGACGCUGAUGUGCGAAAGCGUGGGGAUCAAACAGGAUUAGAUACCCUGGUAGUCCACGCCGUAAACGAUGAGUGCUAAGUGUUAGGGGGUUUCCGCCCCUUAGUGCUGCAGCUAACGCAUUAAGCACUCCGCCUGGGGAGUACGACCGCAAGGUUGAAACUCAAAGGAAUUGACGGGGACCCGCACAAGCGGUGGAGCAUGUGGUUUAAUUCGAAGCAACGCGAAGAACCUUACCAAAUCUUGACAUCCUUUGACAACUCUAGAGAUAGAGCCUUCCCCUUCGGGGGACAAAGUGACAGGUGGUGCAUGGUUGUCGUCAGCUCGUGUCGUGAGAUGUUGGGUUAAGUCCCGCAACGAGCGCAACCCUUAAGCUUAGUUGCCAUCAUUAAGUUGGGCACUCUAAGUUGACUGCCGGUGACAAACCGGAGGGAGGUGGGGAUGACGUCAAAUCAUCAUGCCCCUUAUGAUUUGGGCUACACACGUGCUACAAUGGACAAUACAAAGGGCAGCGAAACCGCGAGGUCAAGCAAAUCCCAUAAAGUUGUUCUCAGUUCGGAUUGUAGUCUGCAACUCGACUACAUGAAGCUGGAAUCGCUAGUAAUCGUAGAUCAGCAUGCUACGGUGAAUACGUUCCCGGGUCU
rnacentral:rRNA from 1 species